AUGUCAUGGGGAUCAGCUUGGGCUGGCCGCCCUGAUCGAGUGUUCACGUCGGUGGAGGACCCGCAGCAGCGACGCCUCGCCGAGUGGAUGGACCAAGACAAGCAGGCGCGGCAUCGCGCCGAGUUUGGCAUCCGUAUUGCAGCCAUCGCGGCGCAGGUGGCUUCCGAGAUGUCGGCGGCGGUAGCAUCGGAGGUGUCGGCUGCCGUUGCCGCGGCGCUACAGUCUGCGCGGGCGGGGCACCACGAGUACCUCGACCUUGAGUCCACGACCACAUCGACCCCAACUGCUCCAGUGGCGGACGACCUCGCCUCUCCCACCGCAGCAUCAAAUUUGUCCGAGGUCAUCGUCGGUGUCGUCACCGAGUGUGGCUGCACCGACCUCGAGCCCACGGCCGCGACCUUAACUCUGACCUCCGCACUGGACAUCUCGGGCGCCUGUUCAGCGAUGAACUCGCUCGCGCUCCCUACAACCAGUGGCUGCUCCGCCGUGGUGCACACCACGUGUUCGACGCAAUGCGCAAGCCGCACCGUCACCAUGUCGGUGUCAGCGACAGCUCCAGCCACAAUGUCAGCUUCGUCCAAGGUCACCGGCGAUGUCGUUCCCGAGCUCUGCUGCCUUGACCUUGAACCAUCAGAUGUCCUCGAGCUUAUCAGAACGCCGCCCAAGUGUUCGACAGAAGGUUUGAAUGACGACCCCGUGGUCAUGCAUGAAUAG
rnacentral:rRNA from 1 species